rnacentral:tRNA from 1 species
GGGUGAUUAGCUCAGCUGGGAGAGCACCUCCCUUACAAAGAGGGGGUCGGCGGUUCGAUCCCGUCAUCACCCACCA